GACGAACGCUGGCGGCGUGCUUAACACAUGCAAGUCGAACGGAAAGGCCAGGCUUUUGUGCGGUGGUCGAGUGGCGAACGGGUGAGUAACACGUGAGUAACCUGUCCUUGACUGUGGGAUAUAUUCAGGAAACUGGGGCUAUUACCGGAGAGGAUCUCUUGCUGCAUGGUGGGGGUUGGAAAGUUUCGGCGGUUGGGGAUGGUGUCGCGGCUUAUGAGCCUGUUGGGUGGGUAGUGGCAUACCAAGGUUUUGAGGGGUAGCCGGCCUGAGAGGGUGACCGGCCACCUGGGGCCUGCGAUACGGCGCAGCAGCCUACCGGACGCAGUGGGGGAGAGUAUUACACAAUGGGGGGGAGCGAGAUCUGGCAACGCCGGGUGCGGGAUGACGUCCUUCGGGUUGUAAACCAAUUUCGCCUGAGACGAACAGUGAGUGACGGUAAUGGGUAAAGAAGCACCGGCUAACUACGUG
rnacentral:rRNA from 1 species